rnacentral:rRNA from 1 species
UACGUAGGGGGCAAGCGUUGUCCGGAUUUAUUGGGCGUAAAGAGCGUGUAGGCGGCCAGACAGGUCCGUUGUGAAAACUCGAGGCUCAACCUCGAGACGCCGAUGGAAACCGUCUGGCUAGAGUCCGGAAGAGGAGAGUGGAAUUCCUGGUGUAGCGGUGAAAUGCGCAGAUAUCAGGAAGAACACCCGUGGCGAAAGCGGCUCUCUGGAACGGUACUGACGCUGAGACGCGAAAGCGUGGGGAGCGAACAGG